GCGUGAAUAGCAUAAUGGUUUAAGGUACGGAUUUCCGAUCACGAGGUUGCGGAUUCGAAUUCCGCCUUUCGUA
rnacentral:tRNA from 1 species